rnacentral:rRNA from 1 species
GUACACGCUGUGACUAGCAUAUCAAUAAGCGGAGGAAAAGAAACUAACAAGGAUUCCCCUAGUAACGGCGAGUGAAGCGGGAAGAGCUCAAAUUUGAAAUCUUAAAGGGUUUCCCUUUACGAAUUGUAGUUUAAAGAAGUGUUUUCUGUUGAGGUUUUGGUAAAAGUUCUUUGGAAUAGGACAUCAUAGAGGGUGAGAAUCCCGUAUUUGACCUUUACUUUCAACUUUGUGAUACACUUUCAAAGAGUCGGAUUGUUUGGGAAUGCAGUCCAAAAUGGGUGGUAAAUUUCAUCUAAAGCUAAAUAUUGGCGAGAGACCGAUAGCGAACAAGUACCGUGAGGGAAAGAUGAAAAGAACUUUGAAAAGAGAGUUAAACAGUACGUGAAAUUGUCAAAAGGGAAGCGUUUGACACCAGUGUUGUUUUUCUGAAAAUCAAUUAAAGAACUGUUUAUGCUAAGCUGUUUAGACUUUAUCAGCUAUCUGUUUAGUUUUGAGCUUUUCUUUAAUGCACUUUUCAGUUAACAAGUCAACAUCAAUUUCUUUUGCUGUAAAAAAGCUUGAGGAAGGUGGCUUGAGAUUCGUCUUAAGUGUUUAUAGCCUCUUGCCUAUGCAGUCGGAGAGAUUGAGGUCUGCAGCGUAGAUCCUUCGGGGCUAAAUGCAUUUGUGCUAAGUUAUAACAUUUUAUAGACAACUUGUUGACUAUGAUUUGUCUUGUAGCUUACUCGCUUAUGUUAUUUUACCUACGCUUAGGAUGUUGACGCAUGAGAUAUACGC